UACGGAGGAUGCAAGCGUUAUCCGGAAUGAUUGGGCCUAAAGCAUCCGUAGCCGGUUCUACAAGUCUUCCGUUAAAUCCACCUGCUUAACAGAUGGGCUGCGGAGGAUACUAUAGAGCUAGGAGGCGGGAGAGGCAAGCGGUACUUAGUGGGUAGGGGUAAAAUCCGUUGAUCCAUUGAAGACCACCAGUGGCGAAGGCGGCUUGCCAGAACGCACUCGACGGUGAGGGAUGAAAGCUGGGGGAGCAAACCGG
rnacentral:rRNA from 1 species